AUGCUGUCUUGUCUCUUAUCUCCCUCCUUCAUUUCACACAUCCCGUCUUAUACAUCCUGUCCACCCAUGAGUCUAAACUCUCCUCCAGAGCACACAGUGCUUAAGACCUCUCUCAGCAUCUUCCUGACAUCUUCUAAGACCUGUAACCCUGCCCUGUGGGACCUGCCUGGAAGUGUGUGCUGCCUGAGAUGGAAUCUCUAUGGAGGCACAGCUCCUUCUGGAGGCCCAGGGGCUGGACAGGGGAAGAAUGAAAUGGGGCCUGUGACAUGGGCCCGAGGCAGAGGAGGUCCUAGGAUUAUCUGGAGCUGGUCUUAUCUGCUUCUGUUACCUGGCAGCCACCUCUGCCCUCCAGAAAAGCCUAGGAAGAAAUGGCUGGGUCCUAAUAAGAUGGGGCGAGGCAUCCUUUGUUCGCCUGACUCCCAGCAAAGAGGAGCCUGCAGCCAUUGCACUGAGUCACCCGGAAAGUCAUCACUUCCUACACAUCUGAUUCCUGCUUACUGUUCAUCAGGCCUACCUCCAAACUAAGAGCCAACAGGACUACAUCCACAUCUGUCUCUUCACAUUCCCUCUUACUGCAGGUCUCUGUGUCCCUGUGUGCGGCACAUGCUCUUUCCAGUGCAUUAGGUUUGCCAACACACCAGAGUGAUAGCCUCAAGACAGCAGGGCCCUGGUCCAGGCUGAAUUUGCAAAUGCAUGGGGGACCUUGGGUCUGUGCCUUCCUCAUUAGUUGCUUUCCUCAUCUGCAACUUGAAGAGGUUGUCCUAAGUAGGUCUUUUAUCCUGAGGCUGCCUAACCCUAUCUUCUUGGAGAAUUGUUCAAAAUUCAGACCGGUGGAUCUUCUUCCCAGGCUGACUAGAUUCCACUCCCAGACAGUAGGAUUUAGUAUUUCCUUUUUUAUGUGUGUGUGUGUGUAUGUGUGUGAUGAAGGUGUUCUGCUGUGAGUAUGAGCAUGGAAACCAGAUGUCAGUGUCUUCCUUGAUCAGUCUCCACCCUAUUUUUUAAGACAGGGUCUCUCAGUGAACCUGGCUAGACUGGCUGACCAAAUUGUCCCUUGGAUCCACCUGCUUCUGCCCUCCAGCACUGGGGUUACAGGUGCCCACCACAAAACCCAGAUGUGGAUCUGAACUCAGCUCUCCUUUCGUGUCUCUCAAGGGCUAUUAUAAGUACUGUGUAAAUCCUUUCAUGGUAGGAGUUGGGGAUACACACUUUUUCCCUAUGAGAAUAUAUCCCACCCCAUCUCUCUUCACUCAGACUGCCUUGAAAGAAGACAAAAGAGUGGAUGGUUUUUACCUCUCAUGAUUCUGAAAGCCAGGAGUCUAAGAUUUGGGCCUUGAUUGCCUUGGUAACUGGUGAGGGGUCUCUUCCUGGCUUGCAAAUGGAAGCCUUCUGGCUGUGUCUCCAUUAGGAGGAAAAGCAAUUUCUGAUCUCUUCUUCCUGUGAGAGCACCAAAUACAGUCACAGUGUGGUCUAAAGCUUUAGGGGGGCAUGGAUCUGUUGGCAACACCAUUAAUGUCUCAC
rnacentral:lncRNA from 1 species